GGACAGGGAAACGAACCCUAGAGACACUCGCAAUGAUGUCUGCCUGUUCUCUUUCCCAGGCCUAUUUUGAGGAGCAAAAAACUGAAUGUGCAAGAAGGCUCUUUGUAGAUGUCUGUAAAUUUGCCUGGGAACAGAGCCUGGAAGGCAGUGUUCCCGGGACUAGGGCGACCCCGGGCUACACGCCACCUCGAACUCCCCAACACUCGGAGAAGCGGCGCCGCGACCAGGAUCAAGUAGGAAGUGCAGGACCAAGCGCCUGAAAUACGGAAGUGGCCCGAGACAACAUGGCGGCGCCGGCGUCAAGUGCCCUAACCCGGGGCCGGCGGCCAGGUCACUGAUGUGGGCUGAGCUCAGCUGGGCGUGUCUCCAAGCUGAAGAUCGGGUCCCCAUCUUCUCCAGCUGUCUCUCACCCUCCUUGAACCAGUAUCUUUAGGCUGUUUUCUCAACUGUAAACAUGGAUCGUGACUGGCAAGGAAUGUGCCUUGUUAGUCUCAAGAUGGAGCUGAACUGAAAAUGGUGUCACUCUAGCCCUCCUAGGUCCCUGCUUCCCUAACAAUGGCAGAAGCAGGAAAACAAAUUCAACUAUACAAAGACAUUCUAAACCUUUGCUUGCAUCACACCUACCAAUAUCCUAUAGUCCUUCUGUAUAGGAGAGGGGAAUGUGAAAGGAAAAUACCUUGGACCCCCAAAAUCACUAAGGAAAACUCAGCUGGAAACUGCUUAAGGCAAACCUGCCUCUCAUUCUAUGAAGUUAUCCCUCUGCUCACUAAGAGAUGCAAAUCUGAUUUGCCUCCUUUGAAAGGGCCAAUCAGAAACUCAAAAGAAUGCAACCAUUUGUGUCUCACCUAUCUGUGACCUGGAAACCCAGUCCCCGCUUGGAGUCUUCCUGCCUUUGCUUCAAGUUGUCCCGCCUUUCCAGACCUCACCAAUGUACUGCUUAUAUCUAUGAUUGAUGUCUUGCAUCUCGGUAAAAUGUACAAAACCAAACUGUGCCCCGACCACCUUGGGCACAUGUCAUCAGGACUUCCUGAGGGUGUCACGGGGGCAAAAUAAACUUUCUAAAUCAACUGA